GACGAACGCUGGCGGCGUGCUUAACACAUGCAAGUCGAACGGAAAGGCCCUGCUUUUGUGGGGUGCUCGAGUGGCGAACGGGUGAGUAACACGUGAGUAACCUGCCCUUGACUUUGGGAUAACUUCAGGAAACUGGGGCUAAUACCGGAUAGGAGCUCCUGCUGCAUGGUGGGGGUUGGAAAGUUUCGGCGGUUGGGGAUGGACUCGCGGCUUAUCAGCUUGUUGGUGGGGUAGUGGCUUACCAAGGCUUUGACGGGUAGCCGGCCUGAGAGGGUGACCGGCCACAUUGGGAAUGAGAUACGGCCCAGACUCCUACGGGAGGCAGCAGUGGGGAAUAUUGCACAAUGGGCGGAAGCCUGAUGCAGCAACGCCGCGGGCGGGAUGACGGCCUUCGGGUUGUAAACCGCUUUCGCCUGUGACGAAGCGUAAGUGACGGUAAUGGGUAAAGAAGCACCGGCUAACUACGUG
rnacentral:rRNA from 1 species